AUUGAACGCUGGCGGCAGGCCUAACACAUGCAAGUCGAGCGGAUGAAGGGAGCUUGCUCCUGGAUUCAGCGGCGGACGGGUGUGUAAUGCCUAUGAAUCUGCCUGGUAGUGGGGGAUAACGUCCGGAAACGGGCGCUAAUACCGCAUACGUCCUGAGGGAGAAAGUGGGGGAUCUUCGGACCUCACGCUAUCAGAUGAGCCUAGGUCGGAUUAGCUAGUUGGUGGGGUAAAGGCCUACCAAGGCGACGAUCCGUAACUGGUCUGAGAGGAUGAUCAGUCACACUGGAACUGAGACACGGUCCAGACUCCUACGGGAGGCAGCAGUGGGGAAUAUUGGACGAUGGGCGAAAGCCUGAUCCAGCCAUGCCGCGUGUGUGAAGAAGGUCUUCGGAUUGUAAAGCACUUUAAGUUGGGAGGAAGGGCAGUAAGUUAAUACCUUGCUGUUUUGACGUUACCAACAGAAUAAGCACCGGCUAACUUCGUG
rnacentral:rRNA from 1 species